UCGGACGCGGUGCACGGUGCACGCCCACUCUUGGUGAUAACGAACCGAACUCCAAGUGAGGUGGGAGCCCCGGGUUCGACUCCCGGCGUCCGAA